CCUAGGGUGGACAGCAGUGGGGAAUAUUGGGCAAUGGGCGCAAGCCUGACGCAGCCACGCCGCGUGAAGGAAGAAGGCUUUCGGGUUGUAAACUUCUUUUGACAGGGAAGAGUAGAAGACGGUACCUGUCGAAUAAGCCACAGCUAACGACGUGACAGCAGCCGCGGUAAUACGUAGGUGGCAAGCGUUAUCAGGAUUUAUUGGGUGUAAAGGGCGUGAAGGCGGGAAAGCAAGUCAGAUGUGAAAACGCAGGGCUCAACCCUGAGCCUGCAUUUGAAACUGUUUUUCUUGAGUCCUGGAGCGGCAGUCGGAAUUCCGUGUGUAGCGGUGAAAUGCGUAGAGAUGCGGAGGAACACCAGUGGCGAAGGCAGAUUGUUGGACAGUAACUGACGCUGAGGCGCGAAAGCGUGGGGAGCAAACAGGAUUAGAUACCCGGGUAGUC
rnacentral:rRNA from 1 species